CCGCGAUUCACUGGGAACAGAAUCAGUAGCUUCCGUAAAAGAACCCACAACGCUCAGUCACAGGGAGUCGAUAAGAACAGAAACAGGAGCCUCCGUACAAGGUAGCAAGCCAAGUGAAAUGGGGAGCCAAUGCUGUAAAGGUAAUUCCCGAAAAUCAUCGGUGACGGAAAAUGCCGGAUCCACUUCCAGUCCAAAAAGUAAAUGUCCGAUCCCCUGCUCAAAGGGAAGGAAAGCAGUCCGCAGAGACCCGUCCUGUUGAAAAACAUCCUUCUCCACGAAUUUCAUCGAAGGACGCUGAAAAAGAACCUGAAUCAGAUAUUGGACAACAAUCUCGGGUCGAUACUUCCGAUGUGAUUGUAAAUAUAGAUGGUGGAGAUCAACCGUUGACGUCCCAAGGAGAAAAGGCCGAAUUUUUCGAAAGGACCACCGAAGUGGAUGAAUACACUCUCCGAAAUCAGAA